GUGUUAUUUGGUCUCUUGUGAAGGGUUGUCUCAUUGGCAAUCAUACAACAUCUUCUUUUUUUAUAAAUACAAAAGUGCAAAUAUAUAUAGACUUACAAUUCAUUAAAUGAGUGUCACUUCUGAAUUCUAACACUAAUAUAUUUUAUAUGUAACUAGUAUUGAUCUAUUUACUUAAGAGGCAUGCAUUUACAAACUUAAAACCAAAGCAAUCAUAAU
rnacentral:lncRNA from 1 species